rnacentral:lncRNA from 1 species
AUUUGGUCCUUAUUAUCUAUCAACCUAACUUGGUAGCCCGACAAUUCAGUUUUUGUCAAUUUUUGCUCAAGUCACUUUUGCUUCAUAAAAACGAAAAUCUUUAUUGCCACCAUCCUUUAUACAGAUAAAGAAUACCACACACAAAUGGAUUUCCUCACAAGAGAGACUCCCAACUUGACUCCUUUGAAAUUUCAAAUUAACUACCACUACAUACAAGAAUUCGAAGAAUGAUG